rnacentral:rRNA from 1 species
UCCGUAGGCGGCCAUGUGUGUCGGGUGUGAAAUCCUGCAGCUUAACUGUAGACUUGCGCCCGAAACUACAUGGCUAGAGUAUUGGAGAGGUGAGUGGAAUUCCUGGUGUAGCGGUGAAAUGCGUAGAUAUCAGGAGGAACACCAGCGGCGAAGGCAGCUCACUGGACAAUUACUGACGCUGAGGGACGAAAGUGUGGGGAGCAAAAG